GAUGAACGCUGGCGGCGUGCCUAAUACAUGCAAGUCGAGCGAACGGACGAGAAGCUUGCUUCUCUGAUGUUAGCGGCGGACGGGUGAGUAACACGUGGAUAACCUACCUAUAAGACUGGGAUAACUUCGGGAAACCGGAGCUAAUACCGGAUAAUAUUUUGAACCGCAUGGUUCAAAAGUGAAAGACGGUCUUGCUGUCACUUAUAGAUGGAUCCGCGCUGCAUUAGCUAGUUGGUAAGGUAACGGCUUACCAAGGCAACGAUGCAUAGCCGACCUGAGAGGGUGAUCGGCCACACGGAACUGAGACACGGUCCAGACUCCUACGGGAGGCAGCAGUAGGGAAUCUUCCGCAAUGGGCGAAAGCCUGACGGAGCAACGCCGCGUGAGUGAUGAAGGUCUUCGGAUCGUAAAACUCUGUUAUUAGGGAAGAACAUAUGUGUAAGUAACUGUGCACAUCUUGACGGUACCUAAUCAGAAAGCCACGGCUAACUACGUG
rnacentral:rRNA from 1 species